UACGAAGGGGGCUAGCGUUGCUCGGAAUCACUGGGCGUAAAGCGCACGUAGGCGGAUUGCUAAGUCAGGGGUGAAAUCCUGGAGCUUAACUCCAGAACUGCCUUUGAGACUGCAUCGCUUGAAUCCUGGAGAGGCGAGUGGAAUUCCGAGUGUAGAGGUGAAAUUCGUAGAUAUUCGGAAGAACACCAGUGGCGAAGGCGACUCGCUGGACAGGUAUUGACGCUGAGGUGCGAAAGCGUGGGGAGCGAACAGG
rnacentral:rRNA from 1 species